UUUGGACUCAGCCUGCCUGCACCCAGGUGAAAUAAACAGCCAUGCUGCUCACACAAAGCCUGUUUGGUGGUCUCUUCACAUGGAAUUGCAUGGAAUUUGGUGCCGUGACUCGGAUCGGGGGACCUCCCUUGGGAGAUCAAUCCCCUGUCCUCCUGUUCUUUGCUCUGUGAAAAAGAUCCACCUACGACCUCAGGUCCUCAGACCCACCAGCCCAAGGAACAUCUCACCAAUUUUAAAUUGGAUAAGAAAACGAUACACAGAGGGGUUAAACAAUUUACUGAAGCCUGCAUAUAAGUAAGGCAAGGGCAGAAUCCAGGGCUUCCAACAUUCCAGUGGUGUGCUAUGCUGCUAGUCUGGGGUAUGCAAGCUCUUAUUCUCACAUAACAAUCCCCUUGUUCCUUUUUACAUACCUGUUACUUGACAUACAAUAUCAAACACAUCUUUUGGGAACAAGGGUAAAAUUCAGUUUACUUUAAUU
rnacentral:lncRNA from 1 species